UGAGGGAUAUUGCGCAAUGGGGGAAACCCUGACGCAGCGACGCCGCGUGGGUGAUGAAGGCCUUCGGGUCGUAAAACCCUUUUGCCACUGACGAGAACGGACGGUAGGUGGCGAAUAAGCCUCGGCUAACUACGUGCCAGCAGCCGCGGUAAAACGUAGGAGGCGAGCGUUAUCCGGAGUUACUGGGCGUAAAGCGCGCGCAGGCGGUGGGUUAAGUCGGGCGUGAAAGCCCCAUGCUAAACGUGGGGAGGACGAACGAUACUGGCCGCACUAGAGUAGAGCAGAGGGACAUGGAAUUCCGGGUGUAGCGGUGAAAUGUGCAGAUAUCCGGAGGAACACCAGAGGUGAAAACGGUGUCCUGGGCUCAUACUGACGCUGAGGUGCGAAAGCGUGGGGAGCGAACG
rnacentral:rRNA from 1 species